GACGUAGGGCGCGAGCGUUGUCCGGAUUUAUUGGGCGUAAAGAGCUCGUAGGCGGUUUGUUGCGUCGGCUGUGAAAUCCCGAGGCUCAACCUCGGGUCUGCAGUCGAUACGAGCAAACUAGAGUGUUGCAGGGGAGACUGGAAUCCUGGUGUAGCGGUGAAAUGCGCAGAUAUCAGGAGGAACACCGGUGGCGAAGGCGGGUCUCUGGGCAACAACUGACGCUGGAGGAGCGAAAGCGUGGGGGAGCGAACAGG
rnacentral:rRNA from 1 species